GUGUCAAAUACCACCAAAGCCUUUUGUGAUAAAAACACCAACACAGUGUAAUAAGCAGUCUAUAAAAUAUCGAUAUCAGUUGUCUUCGACAGAAAUGAUAGAAAUUUGCAAUGCGGUGAGUAUGUCACUCCAUCCUCUUUUCCAUAUCGAUCCUUGAUUUUUCAGAAAUUUCGACAGACAUAAAAACAAUAUCAGGCAUAUUGUAAUUGGUAGUUAAGUUGGAAUAUUAUUGGUGAUGUUGGUGAUGACCAUGCUGAGCUUAAAAUGUUUAUCAGUUAUUACUGUAACUAACAAGGUUGGUGUUUAAUAUGUGGAUUUCCUAGGAUACUAUAAAGUAUUUUGUUAUGCGUGAAAAGACUUGCGUCUUUGCCUCACAAAAUGAUUGUUCAAAUUAAGGAGUACCGAUAUAUUUUUUUUAAAAGGUACCGAUUAGCCAAACCCUUUUUCUAAAAGUGUAAUAUUACCAUUUUUUUUCAAUUAUAUAUGUUAUAUAAUUUUUUUUUUUUUUAAAGUUCUCUUAGACCAUCACAAACUUUGGGUUAAAAUUUAAAAUUUAGGUUUUAAACUAACUCAAUUAUUCUCUAAUAGUUGGGCCUAAUAUAAGUUUUAAGUUAAAACCUAAAAUUUGGGCAAAUUAACCCAGAAUUUAGGGUAGGGUUAAAAGGCUGGCUUACCAAAAUUUAGGUUUUCAUUUUUAUUUUUUAGCAAACGAUAUUAUCUACAAUAAGGGAUUGUGGGAGUGGACUAAACCAAAAUUUAGGUUUUAAACUAACCCAAUCAUUCUCCAAUGGUUGGGUCUAAAAUAAAUUUUGGGUUAAAACAAAAAAUUUGGGCAAUUUUAAAUACAUUAAAUCCAACGGUUAGGAUCAAAUAUGAUCAAAUAUAACGGUAAAAAAAAAUCUAAUGACCCAAAAUUAGAUCCAACUGCUAUAACAAUUUAAAAAAUAUUUAAAUCAUAAUUCACCCAAAACUCUAUCAAUACAUGUUUCAUAAGGUCGGUUUAGUGAAUUUUCAACUUUUGUUGAAAUUUAAAUAUGUUUAAGUUAAAAUGUUUAUAAAACAAAUUAUAAUAAUCUACAUAAAUUUUAUUUUGAAAAAAAAGUUUCCGAAAAAAAAAUUAGCCUAAAUUCAUUAUUUAAUAAUCUCAUAUUAAAAUUUUAAUCUAGAACAUUAGAGCAAAACAACUAUUCCUGGAUUUAAAAUUUUAAGUUUUAAUCUAAGAGUUGAAGAUGGUUUAAUAAUCACUAAAUAAUAUUUGAUUAUAAUUCUUUUAAAACAAUUAAAAUUAAAUGAGCUAAAUUGCGACAAUUAAAACUCCCGGACUAAAAUGAAACUUCACUCAAACUACAUGCAGUAAGAUCAUGAUUUUGGCUUAGUAACCGUCAACUGUUUGAGACCUAAUUAACAAGGCAACAACAACAACUUAAGAUGUUAGACGUGGUUAGAAAAAUUUGUCCUGCUGCUUGCUCCCAAGCCUCAAUAUCGGGAACUCAUGAUAGUUUGAUGGAAAAAAAUAAAACCCUCAUGAGGAGGCAGCAUAUUAUUUUCUGGAAAAUGCAUGGUCGGAUGGACUGUCUCCCGUAUCACUACGUGUCAAAACCCUGAGCACAAACAACAAAUCAAUACGUACCAAACUGGGAACGAGAAGAAAAUACACAUUGCGGAUAACACGUGAAGAAAAUUUGACCUCACAUAAUUUAUAGGACAAAACACCUUACGAGUGCCAGAAUAUAGAUACAGAAGACGUGAAGUAAAUUUGACAAAACACCUUUCGAGUGCCAGAAUAUA
rnacentral:lncRNA from 1 species